CAUCACCACUGCCCCCACCAAAAAAAAAAAAAAAAAAAAAAGUGAGAACUGACUAUAUCACGGGUACCUAGACCAUGUGGAGAAAGGACUGAGACUGGAAGCAGAAAACUCAUUGUCCGUACAGAGCAAAGUGCCAGACAACAGCUCACUCUAGUAAAGGGCGAUAAAUGCCACAUGAGAUGGUCUCCUCAGUUCAAAACUAGUGUCAUAUCUCAAGCUUGUGCCUAUAGGAAAACCCUACACUGGUAUCAGUUAUGAAGUUGCAACUGACUCAUGUGCCUGGUCUGAUGACUUCGACUAUCUUUUCAUGACUCCUAAAUUAUGGAGGCGAUCCCGAGGCGCUGGAAGUGAACCCAGGCGUGUUGGGUAGCGGACCAGGUUUUCAGCAGCCCGGACGCGCUGCCCCCGCCGCCCACCCGCACGCCGUUGCUCCCCAUCCCCCCGUUCCGGGGCCUGGCUGCUUUCCGCUGUGCUGCCGGGACUGGAGCGCCGACUGAGCUCUCCGCCAGCCCCCCCGACUCACGCAGGUGCCUGCCCGGCCAGGGCAAGUCCCCACCCCCCUUCCCCGUAAGGACCCGGGCGGCGGGUACUUAUCUCGGACCUCCGGGGCCGCUGGAGGGUACCCACCGGGAGCCGCGCCGCGGCCAGUCCUCCAGCCGCGGGCACCGCGCGCUAAGAGUCGGAACGGCUGCAAAAUGGAUUCGCGGCGCCGACGGGCCCCGCCCCAAGGCCCUCCUCCGCCGGCACCUCGGUCCGCCUCCGAGGCUAGGCCUCGCCUUUCCCUCGGGGAGGGAGUGGGUGAGGCGAGGCGGAGUCCUUCCGGUAUCUCCAACCGCCACCGACGACCGCCGCCGG